rnacentral:rRNA from 1 species
GAACGACCGCUGGCGGCGUGCCUAACACAUGCAAGUCGUGCGAAGAAAAGUUUCCCGUUCGGGGAGCAACUCCCUAGCGGCGGACGGGUUAGUAACGCGUGGGAACAUACCCUUUGGUACGGAAUAACGUUGGGAAACUAACGCUAAUACCGCAUACGCCCGUUCGGGGGAAAGAUUUAUCGCUAUAAGAUCAGCCCGCGUGAGAUUAGGUAGUUGGUGGGGUAAUGGCCUACCAAGCCUACGAUCUCUAGCUGGUCUGAGAGGAUGAUCAGCCACACUGGAACUGAGACACGGUCCAGACUCCUACGGGAGGCAGCAGUGGGGAAUAUUGGGCAAUGGAGGAAACUCUGACCCAGCCAUGCCGCGUGAAUGAUGAAGGCUUUAGGGUUGUAAAGUUCUUUCGCCGAUGAAGAUAAUGACGGUAGUCGGAGAAGAAGCCCCGGCUAACUUCGUG